rnacentral:rRNA from 1 species
AUUGAACGCUGGCGGCAUGCCUUACACAUGCAAGUCGAACGGUAACAGGUUAAGCUGGCGAGUGGCGAACGGGUGAGUAAUGUAUCGGAACGUGCCCAGUCGUGGGGGAUAACUGCUCGAAAGAGCAGCUAAUACCGCAUACGACCUGAGGGUGAAAGCGGGGGAUCGCAAGACCUCGCGCGAUUGGAGCGGCCGAUAUCAGAUUAGGUAGUUGGUGGGGUAAAGGCCUACCAAGCCUACGAUCUGUAGCUGGUCUGAGAGGACGACCAGCCACACUGGGAAUGAGACACGGCCCAGACUCCUACGGGAGGCAGCAGCGGGGAAUUUUGGACAAUGGAAGCAAGUCUGAUCCAGCCAUGCCGCGUGCGGGAAGAAGGCCUUCGGGUUGUAAACCGCUUUUGUCAGGGAAGAAAAGGUUCUGGCUAAUACCUGGGACUCAUGACGGUACCUGAAGAAUAAGCACCGGCUAACUACGUGCCAGCAGCCGCGGUAAUAC